AACCUUUGCUGUCUUGGGACGGAUCACCGCUGCAAGAGGGGAAGUUGCUACUGUGAUGAAUUCUGCCAUGUGGCACCAGACUGCCACCCAGACCACAGUGUCCUCUGCAACCCUGGUAACUCACAUACAGGCCCGAUUCCACCUACAGCAAAGCUGGAUGCGAUGGCUGGCAGAGGCAAACCCUUUGCCUGCACUUCAGGCCAAAGCCGGGAUGUGGCCUAGAUGGUUCCUAAGGUCCCUGACAAUCCUGAGAUCUUGCAUCUUGUCUAUUUCAGGUCAAAGCUUCUCAGAUGACCAAGAUGGUGCUGCAGAUGGUGCUGAGGAUGGAGAACCCACCAAGCCCCGCUAGGAGCCACCUAGACUGGAUGCAGAGCAUGGCCCAUCAGAAACUCAAAAGAAUGCGACCUUUGUCUCUCACCCACCUGUGACCUGGAAGCUUUCUCCUGGCUGCGAGUUGUCCCACAUUUGCUUGGCGUUGCCCGGCCUUUUCCAGACUGAACCAAUGUUCAUCUUACAUGUGUUGAUUGAUGUCUCAUGUCUCCCUAAAACGUAUGACCACCUUGGCACAUGUCGUCAGGACAUCCUGAGGCUGUGUCAC
ensembl:lncRNA MUC20-OT1 MUC20 overlapping transcript